UACAUUUUGGUGUAUCAAAGCACAGAAAAUUUUGAUUUUUCAGGAAUUAAUUCAUGUUAAUAAAUGUAA
rnacentral:tRNA from 1 species